rnacentral:rRNA from 1 species
GGAUUCCCCUAGUAACUGCGAGUGAAGCGGGAAAAGCUCAAAUUUAAAAUCUGGCAGCCUCUGGUUGUCCGAGUUGUAGUCUGGAGAAGUGCUUUCCGCGCUGGACCGUGUAUAAGUCUCUUGGAAUAGAGCGUCAUAGAGGGUGAGAAUCCCGUCUUUGACACGGACUACCAGUGCUUUGUGAUGCGCUUUCAAAGAGUCGAGUUGUUUGGGAAUGCAGCUCAAAAUGGGUGGUAAAUUCCAUCUAAAGCUAAAUAUUGGCGAGAGACCGAUAGCGAACAAGUNCCGUGAGGGAAAGAUGAAAAGCACUUUGGAAAGAGAGUUAAACAGUACGUGAAAUUGCUGAAAGGGAAACGCUUGAAGUCAGUCGCGUYGUUUGGAACUCAGCCUUGCUUUUGCUUGGUGCACUUUCUGAAUGACGGGCCAGCAUCAAUUUUGACCGUUGGAGAAGGGUCGGGGGAAUGUGACACUCUUCGGGGUGUGUUAUAGCCUCUUACCGCAUGCAACGGUUGGGAUUGAGGACCGCAGCGCGCCGCAAGGCAGGGGCAUCCCCCACUUUCGCGCUUAGGAUGCUGGCAUAAUGGCUUUAAGCGACCCGUCUUGAAACACGGACCAAGGAGUCUAACAUGCCUGCGAGUGUUUGGGUGGAAAACCCGAGCGCGUAAUGAAAGUGAAAG